rnacentral:rRNA from 1 species
UACGUAGGGGGCAAGCGUUGUCCGGAAUUAUUGGGCGUAAAGAGCGUGUAGGCGGUCCGGUAAGUCAGCUGUGAAAGUCAAGGGCUCAACCCUUGAAAGCCGGUUGAUACUGGCGGGCUAGAGUCCGGAAGAGGCGAGUGGAAUUCCCGGUGUAGCGGUGAAAUGCGUAGAGAUCUGGAGGAACACCGAUGGCGAAGGCAGCCUUCUGGGCCAACACUGACGCUCAUGCACGAAAGCGUGGGGAGCAAACAGG